UGCUAUGAUAAGAAUAACAAAAGAAAAUGAAGAAAUAGAUAGAAAAAUGGAAAUUGAAAAAAUAAAACAACAAGCAAAAAAGGAAGUACAACAAUUAGAAGAAGUAAAAAAUACUAAAAUAAUAGAGCUAGAAAAAGAGAUAGCAAUAUUAAAAGAAAUGUAUGAAAUUAAACAAAAAGAAAAAGAACAAAAAACAAAAUUAGCAAAUGAGAUAAUUAAAUUU
rnacentral:lncRNA from 1 species